rnacentral:rRNA from 1 species
CAAUAGCGUAUAUUAAAGUUGUUGCAGUUAAAAAGCUCGUAGUUGGAUUUGUGGCGUACGGUGUGUUCCGGGCACUUGUUGUCUGAGUAACCUGCUGUUGCCAUCCUUGGGUGGAACCUGUGUGGCAUUAGGUUGUCGUGCAGGGGAUGCCCAUCAUUUACUGUGAAAAAAUUAGAGUGUUCAAAGCAGGCUUAUGCCGUUGAAUAUAUUAGCAUGGAAUAAUGAGAUAGGACUUUUUUGCUACUUUGUUGGUUUGCGCAAGAAGGUAAUGAUUAAUAGGGACAGUUGGGGGUAUUCGUAUUCCAUUGUCAGAGGUGAAAUUCUUGGAUUUUUGGAAGACGAACUACUGCGAAAGCAUUUACCAAGGAUGUUUUCAUUAA